rnacentral:rRNA from 1 species
AGGACAGGUGGUGCAUGGUUGUCGUCAGCUCGUGUCGUGAGAUGUUGGGUUAAGUCCCGCAACGAGCGCAACCCUUGUGUUUAGUUGCCAACAGGUUAAGCUGUGCACUCUAAGCAGACUGCCGUGGAUAACACGGAGGAAGGUGGGAUGACGUCAAAUCAUCAUGCCCCUUAUGAUCUGGGCUACACACGUGCUACAAUGGUCGGUACAACGGGCAGCGAAAGAGUAAUCUGGAGCGAAUCCUAAAAAGCCGAUCCCAGUUCGGAUUGUGGGCUGAAACUCGCCCACAUGAAGUUGGAGUUGCUAGUAAUCGCGAAUCAGAAUGUCGCGGUGAAUGCGUUCCCGGGUCUU